UACGUAGGGUGCAAGCGUUGUCCGGAAUUAUUGGGCGUAAAGAGCUUGUAGGCGGUUUGUCGCGUCUGCCUGUGAAAUUUCGGGGCUCAACCCCGAACUUGCAGUGGGUACGGGCAGACUAGAGUGUGGUAGGGGAGACUGGAAGUUCCUGGUGUAGCGGUGAAAUGCGCAGAUAUCUGGAGGAACACCGGUGGCGAAGGCGGCAUCCUGGACCGGCAUUGACGCUGAGGCGCGAAAGCUAGGGGAGCAAACGGG
rnacentral:rRNA from 1 species